rnacentral:rRNA from 1 species
UACGUAGGGUGCGAGCGUUGUCCGGAAUUAUUGGGCGUAAAGAGCUCGUAGGCGGUGUGUCGCGUCGGCCGUGAAAACCUGCAGCUUAACUGUGGGCUUGCGGUCGAUACGGGCAUCACUGGAGUUCGGCAGGGGAGACUGGAAUUCCUGGUGUAGCGGUGAAAUGCGCAGAUAUCAGGAGGAACACCGGUGGCGAAGGCAAUCCCCUGGACCUGUACUGACGCUCAUGCACGAAAGCGUGGGGAGCAAACAGG